UACGAAGGGGGGCUAGCGUUGUUCGGAUUUACUGGGCGUAAAGCGCACGUAGGCGGAUUGUUAAGUCAGGGGUGAAAUCCUGGAGCUCAACUCCAGAACUGCCUUUGAUACUGGCAAUCUUGAGUCCGGAAGAGGUGAGUGGAACUCCUAGUGUAGAGGUGGAAUUCGUAGAUAUUCGCAAGAACACCAGUGGCGAAGGCGGCUCACUGGCCCGAUACUGACGCUGAGGCACGAAAGCGUGGGGAGCAAACAGG
rnacentral:rRNA from 1 species